AACGAACGCUGGCGGCAGGCUUAACACAUGCAAGUCGAGCGCCCCGCAAGGGGAGCGGCAGACGGGUGAGUAACACGUGGGAAUCUACCCAUCCCUACGGAACAACUCCGGGAAACUGGAGCUAAUACCGUAUACGCCCUUUGGGGGAAAGAUUUAUCGGGGAUGGAUGAGCCCGCGUUGGAUUAGCUAGUUGGUGGGGUAAAGGCCUACCAAGGCGACGAUCCAUAGCUGGUCUGAGAGGAUGAUCAGCCACAUUGGGACUGAGACACGGCCCAAACUCCUACGGGGGGCAGCAGUGGGGAAUAUUGGACAAUGGGCGCAAGCCUGAUCCAGCCAUGCCGCGUGAAUGAUGAGGGCCUUAGGGUUGUAAAGUUCUUUCACCGAUGAAGAUAAUGACGGUAGUCGGAGAAGAAGCCCCGGCUAACUUCGUGCCAGCCGCCGCCGUAA
rnacentral:rRNA from 1 species